GACGAACCGUCCAACCGUUAUUCGGAAUUACUGGGCUUAAAGGGUGCGUAGGCGGCCUGACAAGUUGGGUGUGAAAUACCUCGGCUCAACCGAGGAACAGCGCUCAAAACUGUCAGGCUUGAGGGAGAUAGAGGUGAGCGGAACUUAAGGUGGAGCGGUGAAAUGCGUUGAUAUCUUAAGGAACACCCGUGGCGAAAGCGGCUCACUGGAUCUCUUCUGACGCUCAUGCACGAAAGCUAGGGGAGCAAACGGG
rnacentral:rRNA from 1 species